GACGAACGCUGGCGGCGUGCUUAACACAUGCAAGUCGAACGAUGAAGCCGGAGCUUGCUCUGGUGAAUUAGUGGCGAACGGGUGAGUAACACGUGAGUAACCUGCCCUUGACUCUGGGAUAACUGCGGGAAACUGUAGCUAAUACCGGAUACGACCCUCGGAGGCAUCUCCUGGGGGUGGAAAGAAUUUCGGUCAAGGAUGGACUCGCGGCCUAUCAGCUAGUUGGUGAGGUAAAGGCUCACCAAGGCGACGACGGGUAGCCGGCCUGAGAGGGUGACCGGCCACACUGGGACUGAGAUACGGCCCAGACUCCUACGGGAGGCAGCAGUGAGGAAUUUUCCACAAUGGGCGAAAGCCUGAUGGAGCAAUACCGCGUGGAGGAAGAAGGUCUGUAGAUCGUAAACUCCUUUUCUCAGAGAAGAAGUUCUGACGGUAUCUGAGGAAUAAGCACUGGCUAACUAUGUGCCAGCCGCCGCCGUAA
rnacentral:rRNA from 1 species